CAAGUCGAGCGGACAGAAGGGAGCUUGCUCCCGGAUGUUAGCGGCGGAUGGGUGAGUAACACGUGGGUAACCUGCCUGUAAGACUGGGAUAACUCCGGGAAACCGGAGCUAAUACCGGAUAGUUCCUUGAACCGCAUGGUUCAAGGAUGAAAGACGGUUUCGGCUGUCACUUACAGAUGGACCCGCGGCGCAUUAGCUAGUUGGUGGGGUAAUGGCUCACCAAGGCGACGAUGCGUAGCCGACCUGAGAGGGUGAUCGGCCACACUGGGACUGAGACACGGCCCAGACUCCUACGGGAGGCAGCAGUAGGGAAUCUUCCGCAAUGGACGAAAGUCUGACGGAGCAACGCCGCGUGAGUGAUGAAGGUUUUCGGAUCGUAAAGCUCUGUUGUUAGGGAAGAACAAGUGCGAGAGUAACUGCUCGCACCUUGACGGUACCUAACCAGAAAGCCACGGCUAACUACGUGCCAGCAGCCGCGGUAAUACGUAGGUGGCAAGCGUUGUCCGGAAUUAUUGGGCGUAAAGGGCUCGCAGGCGGUUUCUUAAGUCUGAUGUGAAAGCCCCCGGCUCAACCGGGGAGGGUCAUUGGAAACUGGGAAACUUGAGUGCAGAAGAGGAGAGUGGAAUUCCACGUGUAGCGGUGAAAUGCGUAGAGAUGUGGAGGAACACCAGUGGCGAAGGCGACUCUCUGGUCUGUAACUGACGCUGAGGAGCGAAAGCGUGGGGAGCGAACAGGAUUAGAUACCCUGGUAGUCCACGCCGUAAACGAUGAGUGCUAAGUGUUAGGGGUUUCCGCCCCUUA
rnacentral:rRNA from 1 species